rnacentral:rRNA from 1 species
CCUACGGGAGGCUGCAGUGAGGAAUAUUGGUCAAUGGUCGGGAGACUGAACCAGCCAAGUAGCGUGCGGGAUGAAGGUACAGAGGAUCGUAAACCUCUUUUGUCAGGGGACAAAGGCCGGGACGUGUCACCUGAUGAGUGUACCUGAAGAAAAAGCAUCGGCAAACUCCGUGCCAGCAGCCGCGGUAAUACGGAGGUUGCGAGCGUUAUCCGGAUUUAUUGGGUUUAAGGGGUGCGCAGGCGGUCUGUUAAGUCAGCGGUAAAAGCCCGGGGCUCAAACCCGGCCCGCCGUUGAAACUGGCAGUAUCGAGUUGGAGAGAAGUAUGCGGAAUGCGCGGUGUAGCGGUGAAAUGCAUAGAUAUCGCGCAGAACUCCGAUUGCGAAGGCAGCAUGCCGGCUCCACACUGACGCUGAGGCACGAAGGCGUGGGUAUCGAACAGGAUUAGAUACCCUUGUAGUC